GUGCAAGCGUUAUCCGGAUUCAUUGGGUUUAAAGGGUGCGUAGGCGGCUUCAUAAGUCACUCGUGAAAUCGUGUGGCUCAACCAUGCAACUGCGAUUGAUACUGCGAAGCUUGAAUAAGGUUGAGGUAGGCGGAAUGUGACAUGUAGCGGUGAAAUGCUUAGAUAUGUCAUAGAACACCGAUUGCGAAGGCAGCUUACUGGGCCUGAAUUGACGCUGAGGCACGAAAGCGUGGGGAUC
rnacentral:rRNA from 1 species